GCAUUUUUUCUACGCUGAAAACAACAAUACCCCGACUCCUUAUGGCUGUGAUACCUGCGCCUGCCCCUGGCUCAGCGCCCGGUGCCAACAGAACACCUUUCAGGAUUCACAGCAGCGCAGACAACAUUCCAGGUCAUGGACUGGCUAUGAACUGCCUGUUUCUGCUCCACCAUCUUGAUCUCUUCUGACUGGACCUUGUAUCAUUAUGAAAUGUUUUUCUCUGUCUCUGGUAGAAGUCCUUGUUUUGAAGUUUAUAUUAUAUUAAUAAUUAAUCAUGUUUGUAUAUCUUUUUCCAUCAAACUGUAAUGUUUAGUACUGUAUACUUAGAGGGUAAAUUUAUUAGGACAAGCAAGUAAGUAG
rnacentral:lncRNA from 1 species